rnacentral:tRNA from 1 species
AAGGAUUUAAGUUAAGCAAACUGUUAGCCUUCAAAGCUGGAAAUAGGAGGUGUUCCUAAGCCUUA